CUGGACGGUGGCGGGCGCCGCGGCAGCGCUGGUGCCGCUGGCGUGGUGGCUGGUUCCGGACCGCCCGUCCAGC
rnacentral:tRNA from 1 species